GAAAUGCGAUAAGUAAUGUGAAUUGCAGAAUUCAGUGAAUCAUAGAAUCUUUGAACGCACAUUGCGCCCGCCAGCACUCUGGCGGGCAUGCCUGUUCGAGCGUCAUUUCAACCCUCAGAACCCCUUGCGGGAUCUGGCGUUGGGGGUUGGCAUCCAGCCAGCCCCGAAAUCUAGUGGCGGUCCCUCCGCGACCUCCCCUGUGCAGUAGCGAUACCUCGCAGCGGGACAGCGGUCUGACCACGCCGUAAAACCCCCAACUUCUCAAGGUUGACCUCGAAUCAGGUAGGAAUACCCGCUGAACUCAAGC
rnacentral:misc_RNA from 1 species